rnacentral:lncRNA from 1 species
CUCAGGCCCAGGAGCCCCAGGGCGCUGUCAGGCCGUGUACUUUUAGAGUGGAACAGGCUAUUGUCAGGACACAGGCAGAUGUUUGAUUUAAUCGGCCAUCCUUGAUGUGCUCUGAUUCUCUUCCCAGGCAGGACUGCAAAGAAAAAGAAAAGAAAGGAAGUGGGUGGUUUGCAGAAACUCCAAUGGGUGGAGGAGAUAAGAAGAACCUGGUGAAAAGACUUGGGCAACUCUGUGCCACACUCUGUCCUAGGUGUUCACGAAACAGGAAAACGUAGACUCCUUGCCCUUGCAGGGCUGGUGAGCUCAGGAGGAAACAGAAACAGACAUACAGGCCAGUGCAAGGGCUAACCCUGGCCGGACUCCCGAAAUUCAAUAUUCCCACGAACGUCUGGGAUCUUGUUAACACGCAGAUUCUGACUCCGCGGACUUGGGAUGGAACCUGAGAUUCUCCAUCUCGCUCACGUUUUCAGGUGAUGUUGAUGCUGCUCUCCAAGGAGCCCUACUUUGAUUAGCCAGGAGUCAGGCAUUAACAUCAGGGACCCUGGAGCCUGACAACCCCAGGCUCCAACCCUGGCUCCUCCACUUUCUGGCUGAGUGAGCUUGGGGAACCCCUUGGACCUCUCGAAGCCUGUUUCCACCUCUGUAUAAGGAGGAGUCUGAUUCCGAUUUCAUUGUGUUGUGCACAAGGUGUCCAAUGAGACAAUUCAGGUUUAGCUCUGAGCCUAAUGCCCAGCACAUAGUAAGUGCUCAACAGAAGGCAAAAACGGGUCUUGGUCUGGGCUCUUAAGAAUUAUUUGAGAAUUCUGAAGCUAGUGCUAUGGACAUUCAAAGAAGGCUUCCCAGAGGUGGUGACCUGUGUGCUGAGCGAUGCGGGACAGGAAGCAUGCAGGGCGAGAGGACAGCGUGAGCAGAUGUCUUACACCUGGCAGCAUGCUGGGUAUAAUUGUUCUUGGGUGAAGCCUUGGCGUGACGUGGGCUUGGCAGAGGCUCAGCUCUAAUGCUCCUUCUGUUUCUUACUCUCUCCUGCUGUCACUGUUGCCU